GAUCGACGUAAUGCAAACCGCGGAACCGACUGCUAACCCCGCCAACUCACCCACCGCUCUGGAGUCGGUGGCAACGGCGCAGGUGACGAACAUCAUGUUGAAGGUGACGACGAUCUCGAUGACGAGGGCGUGCCAGUGCGGCCCCGUCGGCGUCGUCGUCCCCAACACCUCGAUCGGGUACAGCACCGCCCGCAGCACGAACGCCGCGCACAUCGCCCCCGUGAACUGCGC
rnacentral:misc_RNA from 1 species